rnacentral:rRNA from 1 species
UACAGAGGUGGCAAGCGUUGUUCGGAAUUACUGGGCGUAAAGGGCGCGUAGGCGGUCUUGUCAGUCCCUUGUGAAAUCCCCCGGCUCAACUGGGGAACUGCACGGGAAACAGCAGGGCUUGAGUUCGGGAGAGGGAAGCGGAAUUCCGGGUGUAGCGGUGAAAUGCGUAGAUAUCCGGAGGAACACCUGUGGCGAAAGCGGCUCACUGGACCACAACUGACGCUGAGGCGCGAAAACUAGGGGAGCAAACAGG